UACGUAGGGGGCAAGCGUUGUCCGGAUUUAUUGGGCGUAAAGAGCGUGUAGGCGGCCUGGUAGGUCAGCUGUGAAAACUCGAGGCUCAACCUCGAGACGUCGGUUGAAACCACUUGGCUAGAGUCCGGAAGAGGAGAGCGGAAUUCCCGGUGUAGCGGUGAAAUGCGCAGAUAUCGGGAAGAACACCCGUGGCGAAGGCGGCUCUCUGGGACGGUACUGACGCUGAGGUGCGAAAGCGUGGGGAGCAAACAGG
rnacentral:rRNA from 1 species